CGGCGUGCCUAACACAUGCAAGUCGUACGAGAAAGUUGGCUUCGGCCGAUGAGUACAGUGGCGCACGGGUGAGUAACGCGUGGAUAAUCUGCCCUUAAGUGUGGAAUAACGUACCGAAAGGUGCGCUAAUACCGCAUAAUGCCUGGCAACAUAAGUUGUCCGGCCAAAGAAGGCCUCUGCUUGCAAGCUUUCGCUAAAGGAUGAGUCCGCGUACCAUUAGCUAGUUGGUGGGGUAACGGCCUACCAAGGCGACGAUGGUUAGCUGGUCUGAGAGGAUGAUCAGCCACACUGGAACUGAGACACGGUCCAGACUCCCACGGGAGGCAGCAGUGAGGAAUAUUGCGCAAUGGGGGCAACCCUGACGCAGCAACGCCGCGUGAGUGAGGAAGGUUUUCGGACUGUAAAGCUCUGUCGAGCGGGAAGAAGUGUACCAUGGCUAAUAUCCAUGAUAUUUGACGGUACCGCUAGAGGAAGCACCGGCUAACUCCGUG
rnacentral:rRNA from 1 species